rnacentral:rRNA from 1 species
GACGAACGCUGGCGGCGUGCCUAAUACAUGCAAGUUGAGCGCUGAAGGUUGGUACUUGUACCAACUGGAUGAGCAGCGAACGGGUGAGUAACGCGUGGGGAAUCUGCCUUUGAGCGGGGGACAACAUUUGGAAACGAAUGCUAAUACCGCAUGAAAACUUUAAACACAAGUUUUAAGUUUGAAAGAUGCAAUUGCAUCACUCAAAGAUGAUCCCGCGUUGUAUUAGCUAGUUGGUGAGGUAAAGGCUCACCAAGGCGAUGAUACAUAGCCGACCUGAGAGGGUGAUCGGCCACAUUGGGACUGAGACACGGCCCAAACUCCUACGGGAGGCAGCAGUAGGGAAUCUUCGGCAAUGGACGAAAGUCUGACCGAGCAACGCCGCGUGAGUGAAGAAGGUUUUCGGAUCGUAAAACUCUGUUGGUAGAGAAGAACGUUGGUGAGAGUGGAAAGCUCAUCAAGUGACGGUAACUACCCAGAAAGGGACGGCUAACUACGUG